rnacentral:rRNA from 1 species
GACGAACGCUGGCGGCGUGCCUAAUACAUGCAAGUCGAGCGGUUUUCACCUUCGGGUGAGAGUAGCGGCGGACGGGUGAGUAACACGUAGGUAACCUGCCUAACAGACUGGGAUAACUACCGGAAACGGUAGCUAAGACCGGAUACGAUCCUUUGGGGGCAUCCUUGAAUGAUGAAAAGCGGAGCAAUCUGCUACUGAUAGAUGGACCUGCGGCGCAUUAGCUAGUUGGUGAGGUAGUGGCUCACCAAGGCGACGAUGCGUAGCCGACCUGAGAGGGUGAACGGCCACACUGGGACUGAGACACGGCCCAGACUCCGUACGGGAGGCAGCAGUAGGGAAUCUUCGGCAAUGGACGAAAGUCUGACCGAGCAACGCCGCGUGAGUGAUG